CCAGGGAUGAUGGCCAGCUGUCCUCCUUUGCCUCUGCAUGCAGAGCAAGGGGAAACGGGCUUAGACCGGAGGCAGGGCUAAGAUUAGAGAGCAGGAAGAACUUGGCAGUGAAGGAUGUUGUAUAACCUACUUUUCGAGACAACUUGGGGACUGAGGAGACUCCCACACUCCUGGUCUGGGCCCAGUGGACAUGAAUGUGGGGUUGAUCUGGCUGGCUGGCUGCGAACGGAGGAGGAGGUCCUGCGGCUGCAUCUCUCUUCGUGUCCUCGAUUUCCCGUUGGAAGUUAAGUUCCCAAAUUUUGGAGCUGGCAAGGCAGCACCUCCCCCACCCACCACGCACUGCACCAGUGUUCCUGGGCUGGGGGAAAACCUGGGCCGUGUAUGCAUUAGAUUGAUUUUAAGCGUGAUCUUUGCUUUUCCUGGAAGAAGACUGCUGUUGUGCUCCUGUGUGGCUUGGGAGUGAUUGUGAAUGUGCCAGGAGUGUCAGUACCAGGAGAUGGUGCUACUCAUGGAAGCAGAGGUUAUGAAAUGAAAGGAGGUAGAAGAUGGCUCAGAUUCCUAGGUGAGGGAGACAAAUCCGGAGACUAUAAAGACUCUCCGAGACUUCUGGUUCAAUUCCCUUGUUACAAAUGAAGAAACUGAGGUCAAGAGAGAAUCUCACGUGUCAGGCCUUCAAGAAGAUUCCCAAAUCCUUGUGGAAUUCGAUAAUGGGUGUUGGAGAAUGGAAUCGACAUCUCCUUGGGAAGAAUUGCCUAGAGUACCUAGAGAUUCAUUAAA